rnacentral:rRNA from 1 species
GACGAUACGUAGCCGACCUGAGAGGGUGAUCGGCCACACUGGAACUGAGACACGGUCCAGACUCCUACGGGAGGCAGCAGUAGGGAAUCUUCCGCAAUGGGCGAAAGCCUGACGGAGCAACGCCGCGUGAGUGAUGAAGGUCUUCGGAUCGUAAAGCUCUGUUGUUAGGGAAGAACAAAUGUGUAAGUAACUGUGCACAUCUUGACGGUACCUAACCAGAAAGCCACGGCUAACUACGUGCCAGCAGCCGCGGUAAUACGUAGGUGGCAAGCGUUAUCCGGAAUUAUUGGGCGUAAAGCGCGCGUAGGCGGUUUUUUAAGUCUGAUGUGAAAGCCCACGGCUCAACCGUGGAGGGUCAUUGGAAACUGGAAAACUUGAGUGCAGAAGAGGAAAGUGGAAUUCCAUGUGUAGCGGUGAAAUGCGCAGAGAUAUGGAGGAACACCAGUGGCGAAGGCGGCUUUCUGGUCUGCAACUGACGCUGAUGUGCGAAAGCGUGGGGAUCAAACAGGAUUAGAUACCCUGGUAGUCCACGCCGUAAACGAUGAGUGCUAAGUGUUAGGGGGUUUCCGCCCCUUAGUGCUGCAGCUAACGCAUUAAGCACUCCGCCUGGGGAGUACGGUCGCAAGACUGAAACUCAAAGGAAUUGACGGGGACCCGCACAAGCGGUGGAGCAUGUGGUUUAAUUCGAAGCAACGCGAAGAACCUUACCAAAUCUUGACAUCCUUUGACCGCUCUAGAGAUAGAGUUUUCCUCUUCGGAGGACAAAGUGACAGGUGGUGCAUGGUUGUCGUCAGCUCGUGUCGUGAGAUGUUGGGUUAAGUCCCGCAACGAGCGCAACCCUUGAACUUAGUUGCCAUCAUUCAGUUGGGCACUCUAAGUUGACUGCCGGUGACAAACCGGAGGAAGGUGGGGAUGACGUCAAAUCAUCAUGCCCCUUAUGAUUUGGGCUACACACGUGCUACAAUGGACAAUACAAAGGGCAGCGAAACCGCGAGGUCAAGCAAAUCCCAUAAAGUUGUUCUCAGUUCGGAUUGUAGUCUGCAACUCGACUACAUGAAGCUGGAAUCGCUAGUAAUCGUAGAUCAGCAUGCUACGGUGAAUACGUUCCCGGGUCUUGUACACACCGCCCGUCACACCACGAGAGUUUGUAACACCCGAAGCCGGUGGAGUAACCAUUUUGGAGCUAGCCGUCGAAGGUGGGACAAAUGAUUGGGGUGAAGUCGUAACAAGGUAGCCGUAUCGGAAGGUGCGGCUGGAUCACCUCCUUU